UACAGAGGGUGCUAGCGUUGUUCGGAAUCAUUGGGCGUAAAGGGCGCGUAGGCGGCCAGCGCAAGUCAGUUGUGAAAUCUCCGGGCUUAACUCGGAACGGUCAACUGAUACUGCGCGGCUAGAGUGCAGAAGGGGCAAUCGGAAUUCUUGGUGUAGCGGUGAAAUGCGUAGAUAUCAAGAGGAACACCUGAGGUGAAGACGGGUUGCUGGGCCGAGACUGACGCUGAGGCGCGAAAGCGUGGGGAGCAAACAGG
rnacentral:rRNA from 1 species